rnacentral:rRNA from 1 species
AGAGUUUGAUCGUGGCUCAGAUUGAACGCUGGCGGUAUGCUUAACACAUGCAAGUCGAACGGUAGCAGUAUGAUUGAUCCUUCGGGUGAUUUUAUAGCUGACGAGUGGCGGACGGGUGAGUAAUGCGUAGGAAUCUGCCUAAAAGUGGGGGACAACCUGGGGAAACUCAGGCUAAUAGCAUAAUCUCUACGGAGUAAAGCAGGGGACCUUUCGGGGCCUUGCGCUUUUAGAUGAGCCUGCGUCGGAUUAGCUAGUUGGUGGGGUAAAGGCCUACCAAGGCGACGAUCCGUAGCUGUUCUGAGAGGAAGAUCAGCCACACUGGGACUGAGACACGGCCCAGACUCCUACGGGAGGCAGCAGUGGGGAAUAUUGGACAAUGGGGGCAACCCUGAUCCAGCCAUGCCGCGUGUGUGAAGAAGGCCUUAGGGUUGUAAAGCACUUUCAGUAGGGAGGAAAAGUUAGUCGUUAAUAACGGCUAACCCUGACGUUACCUACAGAAGAAGCACCGGCAAACUCCGUGCCAGCAGCCGCGGUAAUACGGAGGGUGCGAGCGUUAAUCGGAAUUACUGGGCGUAAAGCGCGCGUAGGCGGCCUGAUAAGUUGGAUGUGAAAGCCCUGGGAUCAACCUAGGAAAUGAAUUAAAAAAUGUCAGGCUAUAGUAUGGUAGAGGUGAGUUGAAUUUCCUGUGUAGCGGUGAAAUGCGUAGAUAUAGGAAGGAACAUCAGUGGCGAAGGCGACUCACUGGCACAACACUGACGCUGAGGUGCGAAAGCGUGGGUAGCAAACGGGAUUAGAUACCCCGGUAGUCCACGCCGUAAACGAUGUCAACUAACUGUUGGGCGGGUUUCCGCUUUUAGUAGCGUAGCUAACGCGAUAAGUUGACCGCCUGGGGAGUACGGCCGCAAGGCUAAAACUCAAAUGAAUUGACGGGGGCCCGCACAAGCGGUGGAGCAUGUGGUUUAAUUCGAUGCAACGCGAAGAACCUUACCUACCCUUGACAUCCAGAGAAUCGUUAGAGAUAGUAGAGUGCCUUCGGGAAUUCUGACACAGGUGCUGCAUGGCUGUCGUCAGCUCGUGUCGUGAGAUGUUGGGUUAAGUCCCGUAACGAGCGCAACCAUUAUCCUUAGUUCCCAGCGCCUUAAGUUGGGCACUCUAAGGAGACUGCCGGUGACAAACCGGAGGAAGGUGGGGACGACGUCAAGUCAUCAUGGCCCUUACGAGUAGGGCUACACACGUGCUACAAUGGUGAGUACAGAGGGAAGCAAACUUGCGAGAGUAAGCGGAUCCCUUAAAGCUCAUCGUAGUCCGGAUCGGAGUCUGCAACUCGACUCCGUGAAGUCGGAAUCGCUAGUAAUCGCAAAUCAGAAUGUUGCGGUGAAUACGUUCCCGGGCCUUGUACACACCGCCCGUCACACCAUGGGAGUGGGUUGCAAAAGAAGUAGCUAGUCUAACCUUCGGGAGGACGGUUACCACUUUGUGAUUCAUGACUGGGGUGAAGUCGUAACAAGGUAGCCA